AUGUGUCCGGGUGUGCACGCACAAUUCCGGUCGGGACCUGGUGUGUGUGUCCGGGUGUGCUCGCACAAUUCCGGUCAUGACCUGGCGUGUGUGUCCCGGUGUGCACACACAAUUCUGGUCGGGACCUGGCGUGUGUGUCCAGGUGUGCACGCACAAUUCCGGCCGGGACCUGGCGUGUGUGUCCGGGUGUGCACACACAAUUCCGGUGGGGACCUGGCGUGUGUGUCCAGGUGUGCAUGCACAAUUCCAGUCAUGACCUGGCGUGUGUGUCCAGGUGUGCACGCACAAUUCCGGUCGGGACCUGGCGUGUGUGUCCGGGUGUGCACGCACAAUUCCGGUCAUGACCUGGCGUGUGUGUCCGGGUGUGCACGCACAAUUCCAGUCGGGACCUGGCGUGUGUGUCCGGACGUGCUCGCACAAUUCUGGUCGGGACCUGGCGUGUGUGUCCGGGUGUGCAUGCACAAUUCCGGUUGGGACCUGGCGUGUGUGUCCGGGUGUGCAUGCACAAUUCCGGUCGGGACCUGGCGUGUGUGUCCGGGUGUGCUCGCACAAUUCCAGUUGGGACCUGGCGUGUGUGUCCGGGUGUGCACGCACAAUUCCGGUCGGGACCUGGCGUGUGUGUCCAGGUGUGCACACACAGGCAUGCAGCUUCUUUUCUCUAGAGUGAGGUUUUAGCUGCUGAUUUGUGCCUAUCACUGAACACUGGAUGCCUCUCACAGCUCUUUUCCCAUGGAAACUAGUCUUCUGGGACAGAAUUUGUAUUUUGUUUUUUGUUUUGUUUUUUUGAGACAGAGUCUCGCUCUGUCGCCCAGGCUGGAGUGCAAUGGUGCGAUCUCAGCUCACCGCAACCUCCGCCUCCUGGGUUCAAGCGAUUCUCCUGCCUCAGCCUCCCGAGUAGCUGGAAUUACAGGUGUGUAGCACCACCCUGGGCCAAUAUUUGUAUAUUUAGUAGAGACGGGGUUUUGCCAUGUUGGCCAGGCUGGUCUUGAACUCCUGACUUCAAAUGAUCCCCCUUCCUUGGCCUCCCAAAGUGCUGGGAUUACAGGUGUGAGUCCCCAUGUCCAGCCUUAUUUUUACCUGUAGAGAUGGGAGCCUCACUGUGUUACCCAGGCUGGCCACGAACUCCUGGGCUGAAGUGAUCCUCCUGCCUGGGCUUCCCAAGGCGCUGGGAUUACAGGCCUGAGCCACCGCCUCCAGCCCUGAGAUUUUCAGCUUUGGCUUCCAGCAAGGUGCUGCUUCCUUUUAGCUUCUGGAAUGUUCUCCGCCACAAACAAGAUUAAAGUCUCCAAUAACAAAACGAAACAAAAAACACUUCCAGGCCGGGCGCGGUGGCUCAUGCCUAUAAUCCCAGCACUUUGGGAGGCCGAGGCGGGUGGAUCACGAGGUCAAGAGAUCAAGACCAUCCCGGUCAACAUGGUGAAACCCCGUCUCUACUAAAAAUACAAAAAUUAGGUGGACACGGUGGCGCGUGCCUGUAGUCCCAGCUACUCGGGAGGCUGAGGCAGGAGAAUUGCCUGAACCCAGGAGGCGGAGGUUGUGGUGAGCCGAGAUCGCGCCAUUGCACUCCAGCCUGGGUGACAAGAGCGAAACUCCGUCUCAAAAAAAAAAAACAACGCUUCCAAAGUGCAACUCAUCGAGAGACAGCAGAGGCUUUUCAGGAUCCAGUUGGGAAGGG
rnacentral:lncRNA from 13 species